AUCAUCAGGUGAAGAGACAGUUUGGGCAGCAGCAACAAGACAACUAUUACAAGUAGAGAUGGGUUUCAAGAACUGGUACUAAUUUGGUUCCUGACUUGUUCGACACAACCACAUAUCAUGCAAAUCAUCUCCGAGUGGAUGGCAGCAAGGAUCCAGGAUCAAGAGAUCAUUCAUCAUGGAGACUGUUCCACAGGAAGCAGUUUAUCCUGGGCGAAAAACUAAACCUGGUUGUUUCAGCAUCACUCAGGCAAGACUAAAUACAUUUAAAUUGAUUUCAGUUGGUUAUGUGUUUCAGGUCAUCCUGACCAUUCUGCUGUUCUGGAUGUAAGGCCGUGCUGGAACUACAUUUCUCAUGGGUGAAAGAUUUGUGCAGCGGUAUCCAGACAUAUAACGCCCCAUUCACACGGGGAGUCAACGCCUCUCGUUUACUUUUAAAUGGAGUGAUGUCAAGCAUGAUUUGAGGGAAAGAUUAAAAACAAGGAGGUCUGGGAAUGACUGAAGGGAACUGACAGCAGUGAGGGAAGGAAGUUAUCACCAGAAUGUACAAGGAUGUUGACAGUGCAGGCCCAGGAUGAAGAAGAGGAGGAAGAACACAUUUAACAAUUUUCUCAUAAACUUUCCAUGUGUUAUAAUAAAAACAAUGAACAUGACUACAAUAAUAUGCUAAAUGUUAUUAAAAGAUUCCAGUUUGCAAGAAAUCUGAGUGUCUGACUCUACACUAGAGGAACUCUUUUCUGAAGAACAUCAGGUGCUGAGAAGAGCCUGUUUUCUGCUGCUAGGGUAAGAAACACACUCUUCCUCUUCUCUAUCGGCUGUCCAGCACCUAACUCUGCCUCCUCAGCACUGUCUGAAAGAGUCUUCUCCACAGUCAGUAAUCAGAGAUCACAGAUUCUUCUGAGAAAGUCAAUACGCUCAAAUAAUACAGGAAAGAUUCUAGAAAUCUCUAUAUUGUUCAUUUUUCAUAUCUUUACGCUUUAUGAAUGUUUUUCUUCUGAGAAGCUCAAAAAUUAUGGUUCUUUGGUAAUUGCUAUAUUGUUUAGGUUUAUCCUCUGAUAGUGAGCACAGAGCCCUGAUCAUGACAUGCAAGAAAAAUAAAAAAAAUUAUGACCAUGAUUUACUAAUUCGUUCCCUCGAUGUACUAAACCGUGCACGAUUACUUUUACAUUUCAUUGAUUUGCUUAAUCGUAUGCACAAUUUACUAAUUCAUUCUCUUGAUGUAUAAAUAGUGUACAUGAUUUAGCAAAUCGAGGGAAUGAAAUAGAAAAUCGUGCGCAUGAA